rnacentral:lncRNA from 1 species
AAAGGUGAGUCAAAAAUACCUUGGAACAAAUAUCUAUGGUUGCUUAGUGUAGAUCUGAGUGUGCUUAGUGUAAAUCUAAGUCUGUUAAGUGAUUUUGCGUAAGUUUUGUGACAUAAAUAAUUCGGGAAAACUAUUUCCCAGUUUUCCGGCGACUGAACCCGAGAGUUGCAAGUGUUUUCUGACCACAGCUAGUCAUUAUGUGGACAAAUCCUUAUUCUCCUUCUCCUUAGCUUUAUUUUGAUAUAAAGAUUGAUGAAAAUGGUUAAGUUUCAAAGCUAAAUGGAGCCCAGGAAUUUUU